GCUCGAUGAUGAUAUAAAGGCUAAUGUGACUCACCAGCUGGGCUGCGCGCUCGGCCCAUUCCACCCAUACGGGUCUGUAAUCUUGGUGGACAACGCGGAGCUGUGCGUGUUCGCUGUAAGGGCAGGCCGACAUCAGCUCCCCAUACCCGGGUSCCAGGGCGACGUGUCCCUGGGACGCGCCAGCCCCGAGCGAGCGCGUCGGAGCCGGCGCGGGYGGUGGGAACAGGACAGGCGAGUGUCUCCGUGGUUUGGGUUGUGGGGUGCAGCCCAUUACAGCCGGUGAGAUGUGAGCACAAAUCUUUGGUAAUCUGAUAACU
ensembl:snoRNA small Cajal body-specific RNA 10